rnacentral:rRNA from 1 species
GAUGAACGCUGGCGGCGUGCCUAAUACAUGCAAGUCGAGCGAACAGACGAGGAGCUUGCUCCUCUGACGUUAGCGGCGGACGGGUGAGUAACACGUGGAUAACCUACCUAUAAGACUGGGAUAACUUCGGGAAACCGGAGCUAAUACCGGAUAAUAUAUUGAACCGCAUGGUUCAAUAGUGAAAGACGGUUUUGCUGUCACUUAUAGAUGGAUCCGCGCCGCAUUAGCUAGUUGGUAAGGUAACGGCUUACCAAGGCAACGAUGCGUAGCCGACCUGAGAGGGUGAUCGGCCACACUGGUACUGAGACACGGUCCAGACUCCUACGGGAGGCAGCAGUAGGGAAUCUUCCGCAAUGGGCGAAAGCCUGACGGAGCAACGCCGCGUGAGUGAUGAAGGUCUUCGGAUCGUAAAACUCUGUUAUUAGGGAAGAACAAAUGUGGAAGUAACUAUGCACGUCUUGACGGUACCUAAUCAGAAAGCCACGGCUAACUACGUG